rnacentral:rRNA from 1 species
GACGAACGCUGGCGGCGUGCUUAACACAUGCAAGUCGAACGGAGAGGCCCUGCUUUUGUGGGGUGCUCGAGUGGCGAACGGGUGAGUAACACGUGAGUAACCUGCCCUUGACUUUGGGAUAACUUCAGGAAACUGGGGCUAAUACCGGAUAGGAGCUCCUGCUGCAUGGUGGGGGUUGGAAAGUUUCGGCGGUUGGGGAUGGACUCGGGGCUUAUCAGCUUGUUGGUGGGGUAGUGGCUUACCAAGGCUUUGACGGGUAGCCGGCCUGAGAGGGUGACCGGCCACAUUGGGACUGAGAUACGGCCCAGACUCCUACGGGAGGCAGCAGUGGGGAAUAUUGCACAAUGGGCGGAAGCCUGAUGCAGCAACGCCGCGUGCGGGAUGACGGCCUUCGGGUUGUAAACCGCUUUCGCCUGUGACGAAGCGUGAGUGACGGUAAUGGGUAAAGAAGCACCGGCUAACUACGUG